rnacentral:lncRNA from 1 species
CUCCCACCAGAUGGGGUCUGGGGAAGGUAAUAUGUAGACAGCCUUACCCCUACCCAAAAGGACAGAGAGGCUGCUUCCAAGCGACCCUCGGCGCAUAGGACAGAACGAAAAGCUGCAUUGGAAAACAAAGAUAAAGUUAGGAACCAAGACAAGACAAAACACAAUAACAAAACAAAGCAUAAGUAAUCCUGCAGAAAUAAC